CCUACGGGAGGCAGCAGUGAGGAAUAUUGGUCAAUGGACGCAAGUCUGAACCAGCCAUGCCGCGUGCAGGAUGACGGCUCUAUGAGUUGUAAACUGCUUUUGUACGAGGGUAAACCCCGAUACGUGUAUCGGGUUGAAAGUAUCGUACGAAUAAGGAUCGGCUAACUCCGUGCCAGCAGCCGCGGUAAUACGGAGGAUCCGAGCGUUAUCCGGAUUUAUUGGGUUUAAAGGGUGCGUAGGAGGUUAAAUAAGUUAGAGGUUAAAUGUCGGGGCUCAACCCCGAGACGGCCUGUAAUACUGAGGAGCGAGAGGGUAGUUGCGGUAAGCGGAAUGUAUGGUGUAGCGGGGAAAGGAGUAGAGAUCA
rnacentral:rRNA from 1 species